CGCGAAGAACCUUACCUGGCCUUGACAUGCACGGAAUCCUUUAGAGAUAGAGGAGUGCCUUCGGGAACCGUGACACAGGUGCUGCAUGGCUGUCGUCAGCUCGUGUCGUGAGAUGUUGGGUUAAGUCCCGCAACGAGCGCAACCCUUGUCCUUAGUUGUCAGCACGUAAUGGUGGGAACUCUAAGGAGACCGCCGGUGACAAACCGGAGGAAGGUGGGGAUGACGUCAAGCCAUCAUGGCCCUUACGGCCAGGGCUACACACGUACUACAAUGGUGGGGACAGAGGGCUGCAAGCGCGCGAGCGUGAGCCAACCCCAGAAAGCCGAUCUCAGUCCGGAUCGGAGUCUGCAACUCGACUCCGUGAAGUCGGAAUCGCUAGUAAUCGCGAAUCAGCAUUGUCGCGGUGAAUACGUUCCCGGGCCUUGUACACACC
rnacentral:rRNA from 1 species